CCUCUGGUUUGCUUUCCUCCUCCCCUCCGCUCAGCGCGUCCCCACCUCCUCUCUGCCUUGCUCUGCUCUGCUAUUGCUGCGGCUGCUCAGGUGGGAGCCUCCAUCCUGGUUUCUCAAGUGCCGGCCUGACCCCAAACAGGAAGCAAUUGUUGCACAUGACAGUUGGUUUGGCUGAGGUUGGGCCUGGUGGGUCAUGGAGGGAAGCUCCUCGCAGCACCAUUAAAAACUGCCUCCCUGGGCCAUUGAGCGGUUAGUGGGCCCUGAGGGCCACAAGGCUUGCGCUACUGAGGGGAGAAAGGCAGCAUCUGUAGAGGACAAGUCGGUGUCAGAUUAGGUAAUGGCUACUUGAAAGGAUGCUGGAUGAGAGUUCAGGAGGUCAGUGGAUGUUCCCAAAGGGGAGAGUUAAUUCCCUGAAGAAUCCUGGUGGAAGAAAUCAGAAGAGUCUUGCAAGAGAUGUCAGUUUCGCCAUCCAAGAGAGACAGACCUGGAAGAGGUAGAGGACGAUGAGGAAAGGAUGUCGCCAUCUCUGAAGUGUUUCCCACCUCCUCCAGCCUCCCCCUCACCAUCCGCCAUUGCUUCUCACCAGUAUAAAAUGCCCCGAUGGUGACCGGCGCUGCUAUGACCUGGUCACAAGUCACCUUGGCUAUCACCAUAGGAGCGCUCACUCCUGGAAGAAGGCGCUCCAGGCUCCGGAACCAGACGUAGUUGAAGUUGGCGUGGAAUGUGAACCCUACCAGCGCCACUUUCCCCGUCUGCUUCAGAUCCAAACUGUCCUGCCUGGAGGGAUCCUGACGGGGCCUAGUCAACAUCUGCUGAGCCGCAUCUGCUGCUGAGAACAGUGUCCCGUAGGCAGCCACGUUCGCCAGCCAUGGAUAGCGAUGCACCAGGACUAGUAGGGGGUGCAUUUGAGUUGGGUGCUGAGGUGUCGCCAGGGGAAAAAAUCUCUGUGUCCUCACCACAUGACGAGUCUUGGAGAUCCUUCCCUAAGAGUGAGAUCAGAAAGACUGGUUUGUGUUUGUCAUGUAAAUACAGCAUUAUCCCCAUGA